UACGUAGGGUGCGAGCGUUUGUCCGGAAUUACUGGGCGUAAAGAGCUCGUAGGUGGUUUGUCGCGUUGUUCGUGAAAACUCACAGCUUAACUGUGGGCGUGCGGGCGAUACGGGCAGACUGGAGUACUGCAGGGGAGACUGGAAUUCCUGGUGUAGCGGUGGAAUGCGCAGAUAUCAGGAGGAACACCGGUGGCGAAGGCGGGUCUCUGGGCAGUAACUGACGCUGAGACGCGAAAGCGUGGGGGAGCAAACAGG
rnacentral:rRNA from 1 species